UACGUAGGGUGCGAGCGUUAAUCGGAAUUACUGGGCGUAAAGCGUGCGCAGGCGGUUUUGUAAGCCAGAUGUGAAAGCCCCGGGCUUAACCUGGGAAUGGCAUUUGGGACUGCAAGGCUUGAGUGCGGCAGAGGAGACUGGAAUUCCUGGUGUAGCAGUGAAAUGCGUAGAUAUCAGGAGGAAUACCGAUGGCGAAGGCAGGUCUCUGGGCCGUAACUGACGCUGAGGAGCGAAAGCGUGGGGAGCGAACAGG
rnacentral:rRNA from 1 species